AAAUUGAAGAGUUUGAUCAUGGCUCAGAUUGAACGCUGGCGGCAGGCCUAACACAUGCAAGUCGAACGGUAACAGAAAGCAGCUUGCUGCUUUGCUGACGAGUGGCGGACGGGUGAGUAAUGUCUGGGAAACUGCCCGAUGGAGGGGGAUAACUACUGGAAACGGUAGCUAAUACCGCAUAACGUCGCAAGACCAAAGAGGGGGACCUUCGGGCCUCUUGCCAUCGGAUGUGCCCAGAUGGGAUUAGCUAGUAGGUGGGGUAAAGGCUCACCUAGGCGACGAUCCCUAGCU
rnacentral:rRNA from 1 species